GCUUGCUUUCUCGAGCGAGUGGCGAACGGGUGAGUAACGCGUGAGGAACCUGCCUCAAAGAGGGGGACAACAGUUGGAAACGUCUGCUAAUACCGCAUAAGCCCACGACCCGGCAUCGGGUUGAGGGAAAAGGAGCAAUCCGCUUUGAGAUGGCCUCGCGUCCGAUUAGCCAGUUGGUGAGGUAAUGGCCCACCAAGGCGACGAUCGGUAGCCGGACUGAGAGGUUGAACGGCCACAUUGGGACUGAGACACGGCCCAGACUCCUACGGGAGGCAGCAGUGGGGAAUAUUGCACAAUGGGGGAAACCCUGAUGCAGCGACGCCGCGUGGAGGAAGAAGGUCUUCGGAUUGUAAACUCCUGUUGUUGAGGAAGAUAAUGACGGUACUCAACAAGGAAGUGACGGCUAACUACGUGCCAGCAGCCGCGGUAAAACGUAGGUCACAAGCGUUGUCCGGAAUUACUGGGUGUAAAGGGAGCGCAGGCGGAAAGACAAGUUGGAAGUGAAAUCCAUGGGCUCAACCCAUGAACUGCUUUCAAAACUGUUUUUCUUGAGUAGUGCAGAGGUAGGCGGAAUUCCCGGUGUAGCGGUGGAAUGCGUAGAUAUCGGGAGGAACACCAGUGGCGAAGGCGGCCUACUGGGCACCAACUGACGCUGAGGCUCGAAAGUGUGGGUAGCAAACAGGAUUAGAU
rnacentral:rRNA from 1 species